AACGAACGCUGGCGGCAGGCUUAACACAUGCAAGUCGAGCGCCCCGCAAGGGGAGCGGCAGACGGGUGAGUAACGCGUGGGAAUCUACCCAUCUCUACGGAAUAACGCAUGGAAACGUGUGCUAAUACCGUAUACGUCCUUCGGGAGAAAGAUUUAUCGGAGAUGGAUGAGCCCGCGUUGGAUUAGCUAGUUGGUGGGGUAAAGGCCUACCAAGGCGACGAUCCAUAGCUGGUCUGAGAGGAUGAUCAGCCACACUGGGACUGAGACACGGCCCAGACUCCUACGGGAGGCAGCAGUGGGGAAUAUUGGACAAUGGGCGCAAGCCUGGUCCAGCGAGGCGGCGUGAGUGAUGAAGGCCGUAGGGUUGUAAAGCUCUUUCACCGGUGAAGAUAAUGACGGUAACCGGAGAAGAAGCCCCGGCUAACUUCGUGCUGGCCGCCGCAGUAAAAC
rnacentral:rRNA from 1 species